ensembl:lncRNA
CAUGAGUUGAAAAAAAAUGAGACAUUCUCCAGGUGUAUAAAAAGUUGUGUUAGCAGGCAAGCAAUCAUAGUGUUAAACAAGAUAUCUGUCCUUAAAAUUUGUUGAUGCUUUUAAUUUAGCUAAAUUUUACAGUAAGCUUUCUUGCUAAUGGAAUGAAGGCAUUGAAUUAGACUGGGUUUUUAAUUCUCUUAUUUUUUAAAUUAUAAACUCACACCUAAAAGAGACAUCCUGAGACCUUUUAGUUCCCCCUUCAUGCUCCAGAAAUUCUUAUCUUUCUGGUGUGCAGAAAGAAACCCAUCUAUUAUGUACAGAAAAACAUCUUUCAGACUACUAAAGUCCCCACUUUUCUUGUUAAGUGUCCAGUUAAGUAUUUAAGGAUACAUUUGUCUUUUAUCAACUGAAAUUCCUCUCCUUUGCCUUAAACUCAGACCUCAGGAGCUGCAAGGUGACCUUGAGUUGGGGGAGGAGACAGUGAGGCUGGUAUUUGAGGAUGACCUUAAAAAUAAGCCCAGGGAAAAAAUGAAAUAGAGACCUCUGGUUAAAGAUGGCGGAUUGAAUAUGCACAUUUAGCUUUAUCCUCUUUCAAAAUUUCACUAAGAUGACAGUGACUAAAUUACUUUUUAAAAGGAGAAAACCCAUGAAGAUGAGAAUGGAAAAUAAGAAAAUAACAUAUUUUGGAGGCAGGAUUGCAAUCACCCUCCAUAUCCAUGAGUUCUGGAUCCUUGCAUACAGAGGGUAGAUGAUGAGGGAGCUGAGCAUCCUUGAAUGUUGGUUCUGUGAGGGGUCCUGGAACUAGUCCCCCAUGGACACCAAGGGAUGACUGUAAUCGGUGGCUGACUUCGAGGGCCUGUGGACACCAAGGGAUGACUGUAAUUGGUGGCUGACUUCGAGGACCCGUGGACACCAAGGGAUGACUGUAAUUGGUGGCUGACUUCGAGGACCUGUGGACACCAAGGGAUGACUGUAAUUGGUGGCUGACUUCAAGGACCCAAGUAGGCAGAUCCUAAUCUAGAAGAAGAGAAAGUUGAGAUGCAGCCUGAAUUGUACCAUAGACCUCCCAAAAAGCUCAAGAAGGUUUAUCCUUGGGUGAGAGUAGAACAGAGGCUCUAGAGAUGAGGCAUCAGGCACAGUUGAGGGAAGGGUUGUUGAGCUGCACUCCACAGGCCCACUAGGCCUGUGCUUGCCCAGCUUCAAGACUGAACAAAGAGCCGGGAGUCAGCAACAGAAACAUUAGUAGUUUAGUGGAGAGUGGCAGCUUAUACGUCUGAAACAAGACCCCACUGUGUGCAGCGGGCAAUGGACAGGUCUUGGCUGUCUUUGCUGCUGGGGAGAAGGGGCAAUUACCAGUUAUCGGGGAAUUGACAUCAGGUUGUCUCACUGGUUGCCAGGGAAACUAGCAGAGGGGUGCAGCCCUUACUGCCCCUUUGAUAAGGGGCAGUCACCAGCUGGAUCGGGGACAAGUAUGUUGGAAGGUCAGUCAGGUGAGUAGGGUGCAGCUAAAGCAGAUACUGGUGGAGCAGGGUCUGUAGAGAAAGCAAGGGAACAGCCAUUUUGGAUGGCCUGAGCAUACAGGGAUCCCUGGCCAGAACCAGAGGAAUCAGAUAAUAUGCCUCAACUUGCCUUCCACAUCAUUUAGCCAGGUGUCACCCUGUAAGCAGAUGGAAAGUGUUCUUUGGAGAAGGCAGUUAGCCAAAAGGAGGCAAAAGAUGAAAACAAAACUAGAGAUAACUAGUUUGACUUUGUAUUAUUGUCUUAGUCUAGAGUAAGACAGUCAAAAAGCUUCCUUCCCUUGACCUCAUUCUCCGAAAUAUAGAUAGCAUCCAAUCAGCUUUUUAGUUUCUCAUCUGCAAAAUGAACAAAUAGCUGACAAUCAGACAUUGAAGAAAUAUCUAAUAUGAAGUGAACAUAGAGAGGGCAGAUAGAAUAGAUACUACCCAGGGAGAUGAUAUAUAAUUAGUGUUAGUGUUGUCUGAGAAAGGGGAAGUUAGUGUAUCCAGUAAACAAGAACAGAAUGCUACAAAAAAAGGAACUUUCAUGGGCAAACAAAGCAGCUCUUGGAAACUAAAAAGAAGAAAUGAAAAAGUGCUCACUAGAAGCCUUGAGAGUUGUAGUAAUAGAAAAUAUCCUAGAAUGUAAACGUUAAAACACUAAGAAAUGUAAAAUAUGAGAGGGAAGGUGAGGUAAUGGGAAAUCAGGUCCAGGGAGCCAACAUCUAAAUAGGAAGAGAAAACAAAAGGAAGAAUAUCAUCAAACAAAUUAUUCCACAAACUUUCUCAAACUGAAGGGCAUGAAUUUCUGGACUGAAAGACGCACCAAAUCCCCUGUGCAGUGUUGGAAAGUAAAAUCAAUAUAAAGGACAUCAUCAGGUAAUUUUGAUGCUGGAAAUAUAAAAGGUCCUACAACUUUUCAGAGGAACAAAAACAGGUUUCAUGACAACAGGCUAUUAAAAAAAAAAAAAAGCCUUUUAGAAUUGUUUGAUUUUUAAACUAUAUACUAUAUAUUUUCCAUGAAAUGAUUUUAAAAAAGAAACUUGAGAAGUGGAAUAGGCCAGGAUGGGUAAAGAAACUUUGUUUCCAUUUUAGUUUGAUAAUGUUGAUCUUUAAGUUUCAGUAUCUAUUAUUCAUUUGACAAUGGAUACUGGAUAAGUGGUUCAGAUUUAAUGGCUCAUUAGCCCAUGAGUUUCCCAAGGCAUUUCUGUUGGUCUGCAUGCAGUCAUUCUUUCAUAACAAAAAUUAAGCUGUAUUUGGAUAUUACUUCUUAUAAGAACACUGGCAAGAAAUUCAGAAAAGGGGGGGAAAAAAAGAAGAUCAUUCUUCCCCCAAAUAACCAUAAGAUAAGAAAUAUGGUAGGGGGUUUAAUAGUUUGCCAGCACACACAGAGGGAAACGUGAAAUGCAGAAAAUAAAAGGAUCUGAAAUCCCAAAACAGAAGACAUAGUUGCAAUUGCUGCAACUGGAAACGAAUUGCUUUUAUUAGAUCAUUAAUGUUUCAUGAUUUGGGGAUAUAUUUGUAUGCCAUACAACUGUUGGACCGUUUCAUUGCAGGGAAGACACCUCAAAGGAUUUUGAAAGGCAACAAAUGUAUAUUGGAAUAGUCUUGGGGCUCCCAAGUAUAAUAAAUUGAACCUCUUCCUAAGAUACAAUGAUGUUAUAUCCAUUUUUAUUGUGUAAUAAUUUUCGUUAGUCACUUUACUUCUUUAUUUAAUUUUGGCUGUGCAGGGUCUUCGUCGCUGCGGGGGCUUUUCUUUAGUUGCUGAGAGUGGGGGCUACUCUUCCUUGCAGUGCACAGGCUUCUCAUUUUGGGGGCUUCUGCUGUGGAGCACAGGCCUUAGGGCACGUGGACUCGGUAGCUGUGGCUCCUGGCCGCUAGGGCACAGGCUCAGUAGUUGUGGGACACGGGCUUCAUCCUUCUGCGGCAUGUGGGAUAUUCAAGGGAUCGAACCCACAUCUCCUGCACUGGCAGGCGAAUUCUUCACCACUGAGUCAGCAGGGAAGCCCCUUAUUGUAUAAUAUUAUAAUUUUUUUAAAAAGACACAAGCUUUAAGAGAGACUUAAAAAAUGAGGAAAGAAUUGAGAGUGUGUGAAUAUAUAUAAAUACAAGGAAUAGAUAGUGAGUUGCUUCAGGGCAAAGAGCAGCUUUUGUUCCUCUUUAUAGCCCAGUAUCCAGCACAGUUGUCCACCCAGUUGAAGCAAAGGCAGGAACCUGAAAAGAACUCCAGAGGUUGCCUUGGUGAGGGGUGGAGCAAUGACAAAGGACGAUCAGAUUCAGAUCCUGGCUGCCCGGACUCCACGGCCCGGUGGUCUUUAGCAAGGCCACCAGGCUCACUGCAAGGUAUUGUGGAUUAAAACCAGCACCACAAAGCCACAUCCAAAGAACAGUUUCACCUAAUAUAACAAAAGAGAAGUUCACCUUUACUUGAGCAAGAUAUCUUCACCAAGGUAGGUCAGAUCCCCAAAAUGACAUCUAUCCCUUUAGAACUUUUCAUGAAAGAGAUCUGGGAUUUACUUAUGAGCAUGCCUGCUUCAUAAGCAAUAUUGAAGACCUUGGAGUGUCUGGGUUUUGACCAGCUACUCAAUGAAAACUUGAAGUAGCUCCUCUGUCUCCUCGCACAAAUUUAUCACUGUCUUAGGAAAGCUAGUAACCAAGGUGAAUUGUGUCUGUAGACCAAUGCAUGGUUCCUAAACCCAGUUAGAAAUGGCAGUUACCUAGGAAAACUGCAUGAAAUGUAAAUUUCUGGCUCCUAACUCAGACUUCUUUUUUACAAUUUUAUUUCAUUUUGGCCUUGGUGGGUCUUCUUUGCCGCACAGGCAUUCUCUAGUUGCAGCCAGCGGGGGCUCCUCUCCGCUUGCGGUGUCCAUGGGCUUCUGAUUGCAGUGGCUUCUCUUCUUGCAGAGCACAGCUCCAGGGCACCUGGGCUUCUGCGGCAUGUGGGCUCAGUAACUGCAGCUCCCAGGCUCCGCAGUUGUGGUGCAAGGGCUUAGUUGCUCCAUGCCAUGUGGGAUCUUUCCAGACCAGGGAUUGAAUCCCUGUCUCCUGCAGUGGCAGGAGGACUCCUUAGCACUGAGCCACCAGGGAAGCCCUUAACUCAGAC